rnacentral:rRNA from 1 species
CCUGAGAAACCCAAAAGAUCGAUUGAGGAGAUUCAUCGUUAGCAUUUUCUGUAUGUGCGCGAGUUAUGAUGCGGGUUACCCUCGGGUAUUGCCUGUACGUGCUUGUGUAUUURRUUGCAGGAUUUUGUCGGCGUGCACUUCUCCUCUAGUAGAACGUUGCAACCCGUUGAGUGUUGACCUAUGGCCCGAGUGGGAGCCUUUAUUGUCUUUGACUUUAGAGACCCUUGGUGUUCCUGGUCAACUGCUCGACGGUAUUCKKAUGGUAUUAAGCCGCUUUUAGCGUCAUGCCCGUCGCAAGUGAUGCCAAUUUUUGAUAUACGGACUCUGUGCCGUCGUUGAAUUUGGCCAGCUGUUGGUGUACGGUGCUUAGGACUGGCUGUUACCGGUUAGCAAUGCUCCUGCUUUGGGUACUUUCAGGACCCGUCUUGAAACACGGACCAAGGAGUCUAACAUGUACGCGAGUCAUUGGGAUUUAUUAAAAUUAAACCUAAAGGCGUAAUGAAAGUAAAGGUCGGCCUUGCGUUGACUUAGGGAGGAUGAUUUGUGUUAAGAUACAGAUCCGCACUCCCGGGGCGUCUCCUGCUCAUUNNGAGAAGAGGCGCACCUAG